CCGCAAGGUUAAAACUCAAAUGAAUUGACGGGGGCCCGCACAAGCGGUGGAGCAUGUGGUUUAAUUCGAUGCAACGCGAAGAACCUUACCUGGUCUUGACAUCCACGGAAUUCGGCAGAGAUGCCUUAGUGCCUUCGGGAACCGUGAGACAGGUGCUGCAUGGCUGUCGUCAGCUCGUGUUGUGAAAUGUUGGGUUAAGUCCCGCAACGAGCGCAACCCUUAUCCUUUGUUGCCAGCGGUCCGGCCGGGAACUCAAAGGAGACUGCCAGUGAUAAACUGGAGGAAGGUGGGGAUGACGUCAAGUCAUCAUGGCCCUUACGACCAGGGCUACACACGUGCUACAAUGGCGCAUACAAAGAGAAGCGACCUCGCGAGAGCAAGCGGACCUCAUAAAGUGCGUCGUAGUCCGGAUUGGAGUCUGCAACUCGACUCCAUGAAGUCGGAAUCGCUAGUAAUCGUGGAUCAGAAUGCCACGGUGAAUACGUUCCCGGGCCUUGUACACACCGCCCGUCACACCAUGGGAGUGGGUUGCAAAA
rnacentral:rRNA from 1 species